GGUAGACCUCCCACCCUUGUGUAUUAUUACUUUGUUGCUUUGGCGAGCUGCCUUCGGGCCUUGUAUGCUCGCCAGAGAAUACCAAAACUCUUUUUAUUAAUGUCGUCUGAGUACUAUAUAAUAGUUAAAACUUUCAACAACGGAUCUCUUGGUUCUGGCAUCGAUGAAGAACGCAGCGAAAUGCGAUAAGUAAUGUGAAUUGCAGAAUUCAGUGAAUCAUCGAAUCUUUGAACGCACAUUGCGCCCCUUGGUAUUCCGGGGGGCAUGCCUGUUCGAGCGUCAUUUCAACCCUCAAGCUUAGCUUGGUAUUGAGUCUAUGUCAGUAAUGGCAGGCUCUAAAAUCAGUGGCGGCGCCGCUGGGUCCUGAACGUAGUAAUAUCUCUCGUUACAGGUUCUCGGUGUGCUUCUGCCAAAACCCAAAUUUUUCUAUGGUUGACCUCGGAUCAGGUAGGGAUACCCGCUGAACUUAAGCAUAUCAAUAAGCGGAGGA
rnacentral:rRNA from 1 species